UACAGAGGUCUCAAGCGUUGUUCGGAUUCAUUGGGCGUAAAGCGCACGUAGGCGGCUUUGUAAGUUAGAGGUGAAAGCCCGGGGCUCAACUCCGGAACUGCCUUUAAGACUGCAUCGCUUGAAUCCAGGAGAGGUGAGUGGAAUUCCGAGUGUAGAGGUGAAAUUCGUAGAUAUUCGGAAGAACACCAGUGGCGAAGGCGGCUCACUGGACUGGUAUUGACGCUGAGGCGCGAAAGCUAGGGGAGCAAACGGG
rnacentral:rRNA from 1 species